rnacentral:tRNA from 1 species
GCAGAUGUAGCCAAGUGGAUCAAGGCAAUGGAUUGUGAAUCCACCAUGCGCGGCCCGUCGUUCGCC